ACAAGACGACAAAGAUAAAAAAACAAUAUAAAACCAAAAAAGAAAAAAGCUUCCUUUUAACUUUUCACGAAUUUUGUUCUUGUUUUGUUUUUUUUUUUCCCGU
rnacentral:ribozyme from 14 species